ACCUGCUCUGUCACCUCAGCCUGUUGUCAGAUUGACCGACUGGCUUGCAGGUCCUGGUGUGGCCAGCUGGUGCAUUUCUCACUGAUGCGCAUUAGAACUUGUGCAGGUGCUGGAUGUAUGUUUUGAUUGGUGUCUGAUUCGUCAGUCCCAUCAACUCUGAACCCGGUUACCUGUACAGGAGCGAUAGUGGCACCCGCCUCUACUCGACUCUGUGGUGAACCUUGCUGUUUAAGUAGUUUUAUGCUUGCAUGACUCUACAGUGCGUGGCUUGGGGAUCUGCUCUGGUUGAGUUGGUGCUGUUUUCUGAUGUUUCAGUCAGACACCCAUCUGACCCGUCUUGAAACACGGACCAAGGAGUCUAACAUGUGUGCGAGUCACUGGGUUGCAACACCCAAGGGCACAAUGAGAGUGAAAUCUGGCUUUUGUCAGCUGACAUGGGACCCCCUGGCUGUUUGCUGGGGGAGCACCAUGGUCCCAUCCAUACUGCAUUGUCAGUGGGAUGGAGAUAGAGCAUACAUGCUGGGACCCGAAAGAUGGUGAACUAUGCCUGAGCAGGAUGAAGCCAGAGGAAACUCUGGUGGAAGUCCAUAGCGAUUCUGAACGUGCAAAUCGAUCGUCG
rnacentral:rRNA from 1 species